GACGAAAGCUGGCGGCGUGCUUAACACAUGCAAGUCGAACGGAAAGGCCCUGCUUUUGUGGGGUGCUCGAGUGGCGAACGGGUGAGUAACACGUGAGUAACCUGCCCUUGACUUUGGGAUAACUUCAGGAAACUGGGGCUAAUACCGGAUAGGAGCUCCUGCUGCAUGGUGGGGGUUGGAAAGUUUCGGCGGUUGGGGAUGGACUCGCGGCUUAUCAGCUUGUUGGUGGGGUAGUGGCUUACCAAGGCUUUGACGGGUAGCCGGCCUGAGAGGGUGACCGGCCACAUUGGGACUGAGAUACGGCCCAGACUCCUACGGGAGGCAGCAGUGGGGAAUAUUGCUCAAUGGGCGGAAGCCUGAUGCAGCAACGCCGCGUGCGGGAUGACGGCCUUCGGGUUGUAAACCGCUUUCGCCUGUGACGAAGCGUGAGUGACGGUAAUGGGUAAAGAAGCACCGGCUAACUACGUG
rnacentral:rRNA from 1 species